rnacentral:tRNA from 1 species
UCCCUGGAGGACUAGUGGCUAGGCCCCAGCACUCUCACCACCGCAGCCUGGGUUCGAUUCCCAGCCGGGGAG